GAAGCGGCAACAGCUCAAAUUUGAAAUCUGGCCCUCUUUGGGGGUCCGAGUUGUAAUUUGCAGAGGGUGCUUUGGUGUUGACAGCGGUCUAAGUUCCUUGGAACAGGACGUCACAGAGGGUGAGAAUCCCGUACGUGGCCGCUUGCCUCCGCCGUGUAAAGCCCCUUCGACGAGUCGAGUUGUUUGGGAAUGCAGCUCUAAAUGGGAGGUAAAUUUCUUCUAAAGCUAAAUACUGGCCAGAGACCGAUAGCGCACAAGUAGAGUGAUCGAAAGAUGAAAAGCACUUUGGAAAGAGAGUCAAACAGCACGUGAAAUUGUUGAAAGGGAAGCGCUUGCAGCCAGACUUGCCCGUAGUUGCUCACCCGGACUUUUGCCCGGGGCACUCUUCUGCGGGCAGGCCAGCAUCAGUUUGGGCGACCGGAUAACGGCCUCUGUCAUGUAUCUUCCUCCGGGAUGACCUUAUAGGGGAGGCGUAAUGCGGCCAGCCUGGACUGAGGUCCGCGCUUCGGCUAGGAUGCUGGCGUAAUGGCUGUAAGCGGCCCGUCUUGAAACACGGACCAAGGAGUCUAACAUCUAUGCGAGUGUUUGGGUGUCAAGCCCGGGCGCGUAAUGAAAGUGAACGGAGGUGGGAACCCUUUCGGGGGCGCACCAUCGACCGAUCCUGAUGUCUUCGGAUGGAUUUGAGUAAGAGCAUAGCUGUUGGGACCCGAAAGAUGGUGAACUAUGCUUGAAUAGGGUGAAGCCAGAGGAAACUCUGGUGGAGGCUCGCAGCGGUUCUGACGUGCAAAUCGAUCGUCAAAUUUGGGCAUAGGGGCGAAAGACUAAUCG
rnacentral:rRNA from 1 species